UGUCCUACGGGACGCAGCAGUAGGGAAUUUUCGUCAAUGGGCGCAAGCCUGAACGAGCGAUGCCGCGUGAGUGAAGAAGGCCUUCGGGUCGUAAAGCUCUGUUGCGGGGGAAAAAAGGCAGCAUCAGGAAAUGGGUGCUGACUGAUGGUGCCCCGCCAGAAAGUCACGGCUAACUACGUGCCAGCAGCCGCGGUAAUACGGAGGAUGCGAGCGUUAUCCGGAUUUAUUGGGUUUAAAGGGUGCGUAGGCGGGCUGUUAAGUCAGCGGUCAAAUGUCGGGGCUCAACCCCGGCCUGCCGUUGAAAC
rnacentral:rRNA from 1 species